GGGUAGGUACCCAAGUGGCCAACGGGGGCAGACUGUAAAUCUGCUGGCUUUGCCUUCAGUGGUUCGAAUCCACUCCUGCCCACCA
rnacentral:tRNA from 1 species